CCUUCAAUGCCUGAGUGUUUUGUCAAUGCGGUAAACUUCAAGCCUCAAGUUUUUGCUUGACCUUCUGUUAAAGAAGACUUACUGUGUGUUUUUUUUUCCCUUCUUCAGAUUCUUGUGCCUGUGAGGUGUGGGCAGAUCCCCAACCUAAAUUACAAGUCUUACAAGCUGACAGUUCGGACUCCCACUGGUUCUACGUUCCUGGCUGCGGCUUGGCACCAAAUCUGCAAAACCUGGCUUCCUGUGAGUGUAGCAUGUCAGCCUUUGUUUAAACGCUGUUCCUACCUGCCUCCGGACACUCCCUGGACUUCCAUUUCCUAAGGCUCUAACAGUACCUUCUCAUUUGGAUCAUCAAGAGACAAAAGUUCCUGUGAACCUGGUCAGCAACCUGAGCAUCCCCGACUGCGGUGUAUUUCCAAACCUGGCCAGUCUAAAUAAACUGUUAAACUGC